GAGACACACAGAGAGAAGCAGAGACAUAGGCAGGGGGAGAAGCAGGCUCCCCGGAGGGAGCCCAAUGCGGGACUUGACCCCAGGACUCCAGGAUCACGCCCUGAGCCGAACGCAGAUGCUCAACCGCUGAGCCACCCAGGCGUCCCCUGGCCAGUUCUAACCAGCUGGGAAGGGUAUGUUAGCGUCCCAGGAAUACCCUUGCACUUAUUUCUUUACAAACCACAUCUGUUAACUCAUUUUAGCCUUACCGUAGCCCCAUGAAGUCGAGAGAGCAAGGGCCCAUGUUGCGGUUUGGGCCACGAAGGCCCAGAGAGAGUCAGGGCCAGCUCAGUGUCAUGGAAGCUGAGCCCAGACUAAGACAAUCAGGGAAAAAUUGUCCUUUCUUUCUCUUGCCUCCAUGCUCAUGGAUGUGAACAUGUCUCUUCCACCAGGGAAAGCCCUCCCCGGAAGCUGUGGAGUGAUGGUGUCUUGGUCAGCAGAGUUCUCUUGCUGUGAUGAGACCUACUCUUACCAAAUGGUUGCUGGAAUGCCGGAAUAUUCGAGAAUAUUCUAGAAUUUCCGGGUGUGUGUGUGUGGCCUCCAUCAGCUCCCUCCACACACACCCCCACAGGAGAGAAAGGGGUACAGCUGUGGAAACUGGCACUGCUUCCCACAUUGCCUGGAGACUAAGAUUCUAUCAGUUCAGAGAACUUGAUCCUCAUAAGAACUACACCUUUGACGGACCAAUCAGAAUUUGGGGGAAGAGAAGCAAAGACGGAGAAGUCCUGCCUUCUGCACUACGAUGCACAAAAUCAAAGUCUUUUUCUUUUUUUUAAAUCAAAGUCUUGAUUAGUAUUCAUCCAGAUGUUGAGAGCCCUGGCUGCAACCGACUCUUGCUGGGCUGAGCGGGUGGGGUGGCUUGUGGCUUGUCUGGCUCUUGUUGGCUGUGUCCCUAUGACACGCACACAGAUGAGGCUGCCUCAAGGUCCCUGCUCCCCUGCCUUGGACCCCUGCCCACCCCCACUCUUUGUGGGUUCCUUUAUGCUGGGAAAUGACCCCUUCUUGGCUCCACCCACGAGCCAAUGUCCAUGGGAAAAUUGCAGGGGAGGGCUGUUGGAAGAAACCUGUCACAUGUUUUUUUAAAAUUGUGGUAAAAAACACAAAUUUUACUCUCUUAACCACGUUUCAGUAUAGAGUUCAGGUGUGUUAACUCUAUUCAUAUUGUACAACAGAUCGCUAGAACUUUUCCACAUCUGUUGGGUUUUUAUGCUUGUCCCCGUGACCCUGCAGGCCUCGCACUGCAGACACCCAAAGGAGAGGAAAAACCCAGCACUAAUUAAUAUCCUUAAAAGAGUGGGACCUUGUUUAUGACUAAGCCAAUUCCCUGGGCCCCAAAGUUUGUGACAUGAUUUUAUUGUCUCCUAAUCAUUGGCUAUUAAAAAAAAAAAAAAAAAGGAUCUGUUGGUCACUUGGAUUCUUUGAUUUGUUUUUUCAGGCAACUCUGAACUUGAUUUCCAAAUCAUCUCCUAAUCAUGUCAUACUGAACCUUAAAAUUCACGAACUUGCAGCUAGCCCAGGGCUUAGUUCGGUGCGUAUGAGAGAUGCUUCAGGGAUGCCUGGGUGGUUCAGUGGGUUAAGUGUCUGACUCGAUUUCGGCUCAGGUCAUGAUCUCAGGGUGGUGAGAUCGAGCCCCCCACUAGCUCAGCACUGAGUGGGCAGUCUGCUUGAGAUUCUCCCCGUCUGCUCCUCCCGCUGCUCCUGCACAUGCAGGCUUUCUUUCAAAUAAAGCAAGAAGUCUUUUUAAAAAAAUGAGUCAUAAAUAUUUGAUGAGUGAAUGAGUGAUGGAAUGGAUUUUCCAUAUGAACGAGGAGGAGGAAGGAUAAAGGAGAUAAAUGUGUGUGAUUUCUAAACCUCACCUACGCCAGUGGCCUCAGUCUCUCACCAGAGAUCUUUGUCCAAGCAAAUCUUAUGGGGUGUCAGGGCAAUGGGCAGGGACAGAGGGGAGAACACAGGGCCAGGUGACCAGAGGACCCUCAUCUGGGAGGAUUCACCUUUGGAAUGAAAGGCAAGCAACUCUUUGGAAAUGGAUCAGGUGGGACGGCCUGGAGAGGAACCGAGAUGAGGGUGAGCCGGCUGGUGAGAAGGCCAGCACUGUUUAAAAGCAGCCGAAGGUCGAUCUGAAGGCUGCCUGUAGGGGUGCCUGAUGAGGAAGGAGGUUGGGUAACAGGUUCGGGCGGGGCUAGCAGGAGCUGCAAAACCUCUUGGGAGGAAGUGUUGCAGGGAGAGCAGAAAUCAACAGUGGCCUGGCUUGGGGAUCCAAAAGCAUCUGGAAAGAACUCUGGAGAUUGGGCAUUAUGAGAAAAGCAGGGAGAGGCACUAGAACAUCUGGAACAUGAGACUGUUUGGCUGUUUGGACUGAAAUAGAGCAGGAUUUGCAUGUUUAUAUGUGUCCUUUCCAAAAAUAGGAAUAGAGCCUAAAAGCAUUUGCAAGGGACCCCUAGGAUGGCAGCCUAGAAGGAAUGAGGUUUGGGCUAAGUAGCAAGAAAGCACCCCUCACUUACUCAGAGACAGUGUGUCUGCAGUGUCCUCUGAGGCUGAGGCCAAACGCGAUACAGGAAAAGGCAAAACUCUAACAUCAGCAAAUGGGUGGUGGGCACUGAGGGGGGCACUUGGCGGGAUGAGCACUGGGUGUUAGGCUAUAUGUUGGCAAAUUGAACUCAAUUAAAAAAAAUAAAUAAAAUUAAUUAAUCAUGUAUCUCACUUAAAAUAAAAAUAAAAAACAAAGACAUUAUAUUACAUACAAAUGGAUGAAAUACUCUAAAAGCAGAAACUGUCAUAUUGUAUCAAAAAAAAUUGAUGUUUUGUUUUACCAUUCUCUGCUUCACUAAGGACAAAUGGUCCAGUUCCAGUGGUAGAACAGAAGCUGUUGCUUUCCCCUUUAGAUGAAUAGGUUGUUAUCAAUGAAGUGACUCACAAGGCAAGGAAGCCUCAUUGCAUCCUUACAUCCCCCAGGAUACAGUGAAGGAGACAGGACCCAGCCAAGGAGAGGUAUUAGGGUCACACCUGCUUGCCACUGCAGUGGGGUUUCAGAGUGCACCACCGGUGAAAAAGGGUUGGAAGAACCACUGGAAAUGCACCUGCUAAAUGAAUCCACAAUAUGUGCCCAAGGGCAAAACGUGUCCUGUCCUGGGCCUCAGUUUCUUCGUCUUUGGGAUGGGGUCACUGGAGUAACCCACUAGAUCAGAAUCACCUGGCGAUCACAAACAUACACAUUCCUGGAAACCAGCCCCUGGACAUGCCAACUUGUUAGGUGGGGGUCAGGCCCUAGUAUGGAUGUCAAGAGCCAACCAACCAACCACCAAGAUAGUUUUGAUGCACAGCCAGGUUUGCAAGGGAUGACAGUAGGGUGCAGGUCCUACUCUGUACCAUGAGUUGACUUUGCUCUUUUUAUAGUCACAAAGAUGCCAGAGAUCUGUGAGCAGAGCAAACCCAAGAGUGCACUCAUACCAUCCCCCAAUUCCAUGCUCAAAUCUAACUUGCAGGCUAGUUCACAUUCCCACCCUUCCCGACAUCUCCCUCACCUUCUGGACUCCUGGCCUGUUCUUUCUCUUUCCGUCUCCCAGAACAUCCGUAACACAUCAGUUGGCUCAUGUGUGUAGAACAGCAUUAUUUGGUGUCAUCAUGCACCCUGCUGUCUCUUGAGCUGACCUUCCCAGAAGGGCACGAACCUUUGAGGGGGACCCUUGUCUGCCUCCUGCCCCAACACUGUGAUUGCUGACUUAAGUUGGGCUGCUCGGAGCUGGUGGUGGCCGGGUCAGCCAGCCGUUGUAGGACAGCUAAUCAUCACUUGGUUUGUGUCAGUGCAGCUAAGUUAGCAUCUGCGCUUCCACCCAUUCCAGGGGUCAUGGGAGACUUUAUUAAUUUUAGUCACCUUCAUGCAAAUCUCCUGUGCCCCUCUUCCUUGUGAUUUCAUUAGCCUGAAGGUCAGGGUGAGGUUCAUUCCGUGACUCACUAGAUUUCUCAAAUUGUAGGUGUUUUGGGGACCUUUUGGCUUUGAUUUGGAAAAGACUCUGCAAGAUCCACUCUCCUGGGUAACAGUCAUGCUUUUCUUACCCAUUGUUAAUUAUAUACACCCAUCCCAGGGAAAAAAAAAAAAGGAAAGGAAUUAACACUCUAAAUUAGGAACAUACAUAUGGAGAAAGGCGGGGAUGGAGUUGGGGGGUGUGGGGGGGGGGAGUAGUGCCAUAUGCCAGAUGGAGAACGCCUGCUCCUACUGUAUCAUGUUUCCUUGUUUUCCAGUCUCCUCAUCUCUGUCUUCUCCCUUGUUAUUGUUUUAUUGUCCUUUUAAAAAAAAUCACAGUAAGCACCAGUUAUUACGUUGAUAUUAUGGGGCAGGAGAAAUGCCUGCCUGAGAAAUUUUAGAGAGAGAAAUAUGCUGUAUGUCACCUCGCAUGUUUCGGACUCUACGUGCCUCUGACCCUUGCUUUGUAAAGAACUGUGCUGAAUUUUCAAGUGAUUGAGUUAGGUUUAAGUAAAAGUUUUCUAUCCAUUGACUCUGAUAAGGUGCAUUCUGGAUGUUUAUGGUGCGGAUUAAAAGCAACUGAGCUCUCUCCAAUUCAGAAGUGAGGCUUUUUCAGUUUGUUGGCAGCUCUGAAAUAGCAUGAGGCACGACUCUUCAAUCUGCACAGAUGCGCCUCUGCAGAGACUCCUUCACUGUUUUCAUUCUCACUUCUCCCUUGAACUCUCAGUAACUCCAUAGCAUAGGUCACAGUGCAAAAUAGAGUACAUCCUCCUAAGGAGAUUUUAAGGUGGGUCUCUUGUCACUUGGUAAAAUGGAUCCAUCCCUGCUCCGAGCAGCCUUUGUGGCACUGCUUUCUCUUUGUAUCCUUUUUCAGGGGAGCUGUCAUCUGCUGUGCUUUAAUUAUGUGUCCCUUAGGAUGUGUCAGGCCUUUUCCACUCUCAGGGAUUUUAAUACUUCCUCCCAGUGUACCGUGCUCAUCUGAUUUCCCCCCUAAUCUCAUGAAUCUCCUUCCACCAAAUAUUAAUCCAGUGGUGAUUAGCUUUCUCAGCGUCCACCUUUCACAACAGUGGAAUUUUUGUAUAAUGUGUUCCAUGGGAGCAGUGCCUAUAACUGCUUUGAGCAAGUCUGUGGUCGAUACUAUUAAAAAUAAUCAUCAACUAAGUGCGAUGUGGUAUCCUCAGUUGGAUGCCCUCUACUCUUUGGAAGAGACAAA
rnacentral:lncRNA from 1 species